UCAGCCCGUAGCCAAUGAUAAAGCUCCAAAUUGUUCAUCCGGCUUACCCACCUCGAACGAGGCGUUUGUUUUAAACAAUUGCAACGUAAGCGUUCCUAAAGGGUGGCAUCAAGGAACUCAGGUUAUGAGUGAUUGCAAUUCCAUUCCCUCGUAUACGGCAAUUGGUACUUUCCUACAUGGAUAUUAUCCUGUUGGCCACGGCAUAUCAGGCGUUUUCUUGGAAUGCCUUCCAAACGGGUUUAAGAUUGCCUUUCAAGAGCAC